UAGGGAAUCUUCGGCAAUGGGGGGAACCCUGACCGAGCAACGCCGCGUGAGUGAAGAAGGUUUUCGGAUCGUAAAGCUCUGUUGUUAAGGAAGAACGAGUGUGAGAAUGGAAAGUUCAUGCUGUGACGGUACUUAACCAGAAAGGGACGGCUAACUACGUGCCAGCAGCCGCGGUAAUACGUAGGUCCCGAGCGUUGUCCGGAUUUAUUGGGCGUAAAGCGAGCGCAGGCGGUUAGAUAAGUCUGAAGUUAAAGGCAGUGGCUCAACCAUUGUAGGCUUUGGAAACUGUUUAACUUGAGUGCAGAAGGGGUGAGUGGAAUUCCAUGUGUAGCGGUGAGAUGCGUAGAUAUAUGGAGGAACACCGGUGGCGAAAGCGGCUCUCUGGUCUGUAACUGACGCUGAGGCUCGAAAGCGUGGGGAGCGAACAGG
rnacentral:rRNA from 1 species